rnacentral:rRNA from 1 species
AAAUUGAAGAGUUUGAUCAUGGCUCAGAUUGAACGCUGGCGGCAGGCCUAACACAUGCAAGUCGAACGGUAACAGGAAGAAGCUUGCUUCUUUGCUGACGAGUGGCGGACGGGUGAGUAAUGUCUGGGAAACUGCCUGAUGGAGGGGGAUAACUACUGGAAACGGUAGCUAAUACCGCAUAACGUCGCAAGACUAAAGAGGGGGACCUUCGGGCCUCUUGCCAUCGGAUGUGCCCAGAUGGGAUUAGCUAGUAGGUGGGGUAACGGCUCACCUAGGCGACGAUCCCUAGCUGGUCUGAGAGGAUGACCAGCCACACUGGAACUGAGACACGGUCCAGACUCCUACGGGAGGCAGCAGUGGGGAAUAUUGCACAAUGGGCGCAAGCCUGAUGCAGCCAUGCCGCGUGUAUGAAGAAGGCCUUCGGGUUGUAAAGUACUUUCAG